rnacentral:rRNA from 1 species
UACAGAGGGUGCAAGCGUUAAUCGGAAUUACUGGGCGUAAAGCGUGUGUAGACGGUUGCGUAAGUCAGAUGUGAAAGCCCCGGGCUCAACCUGGGAAUUGCAUUUGAGACUGCGUAGCUAGGGUGCGGAAGAGGGAAGCGGAAUUUCCGGUGUAGCGGUGAAAUGCGUAGAUAUCGGAAGGAACACCAGUGGCGAAAGCGGCUUCCUGGUCCAGCACCGACGUUCAGGCACGAAAGCGUGGGGAGCAAACAGG